AUGCAUCUGAAGAGUCUGCUUGAAAGACACAAUAAUGAGUGCUGCGUGAACCCCAGCAGGGCCAUUCCAGAUGCUCCACAGGACAGCACUGAAUGCACCGCAGUGAGCCUGGGAGGCCCUGGGCUACUGCUGCCUCCCCUUCUCUGGGCUGAACAUCAAGAAACCUCAAACCUGAGACACGGUGGGAAAUCAGGAAGACAUGAGGCUUUGCUCAACACUGGAGAACACCAGUUCUUUUCAGUUUGUAUGCAUCUUUAUCAGGAAGAUGAUCAUUCAAGAGGUCUGAAGGAAGACUUGUGUUGGAGCCUAAGGAUUAAGCACCAGAAUCCACCAGGUUGAAGUGGUCAGAAAUCUUCAGUUGGGC
rnacentral:lncRNA from 1 species